CGCCUGUUUAUCAAAAACAUCGCCUCUUGCUAACAGUGAAGUAUUAGAGGUCCCGCCUGCCCUGUGACAGCAGUGUUUAACGGCCGCGGUAUUUUAACCGCGCGAAGGUAGCGUAAUCACUUGUCUUUUAAAUGGAGACCUGUAUGAAUGGCAUAACGAGGGUUUUACUGUCUCCUCCCCCCAGUCAAUGAAAUUGAUCUCCCCGUGCAGAAGCGGGGAUAGUAACAUAAGACGAGAAGACCCUAUGGAGCUUCAGGCAAAUGAUCAAGCUCACGAAGUCCUAGCAUUAAAUAAGUGUAGGAAAAGCAUAAAGCGUAUGAUCAAAGUGCCUUCGGUUGGGGCGACCAUGGAGGAAAGAAAAGCCUCCACGUGGAACGGGAAAACCCUUGAACUAAGAAGAACAACUCUAAGUACCAGAAAAUCUGACCAAGAAUGACCCAGACUUAAAUCUGAUCAACGAACCGAGUUACCCUAGGGAUAACAGCGCGAUCCCCUCCCAGAGUCCAUAUCGACGAGGGGGUUUACGACCUCGAUGUUGGAUCAGGACAUCCUAUUGGUGCAGCCGCUAUUAAGGGUUCGUUUGUUCAACGAUUAAUAGUCCUACGUGAUCUGAGUUCAGACCGG
rnacentral:rRNA from 1 species